ACGUGAUUCAACUAUCUCCUUAACCAUAUUGAAAUAUAUUCCUUUCCAGUAAACAUUCACAGGAGACAUCCUACCCUGAAACAACGUACAGAUUUUCUUCAGUUAUAAGGAACGAGUCACCAUUGCACAAGGCUAGAAACAGUAAACAUUCACAGGAGACAUCCUACCCUGAAAGGACGUACAGAUUUUCUUCAGUUAUAAGGAACGAGUCACCAUUGCACAAGGCUAGAAACAGGUGAAUCUAUAAAUUGGGAGCAAAAUGUGUUUUGAACAGUAAGUCAUGUUGCAAUACAUUUCCAAAGGCUAUGUUUUCUGAUGAUGUUGUCAAGCAUUGAGUGUGAUUUUUGGAGGGAAGAGCUCAUAUCAUGACAUGAG
rnacentral:lncRNA from 1 species